UUCGCAAUGCCCGAAAGGGUGACGAAGCGACGCCGCGUGGGUGAGGAAGGCCUUCGGGUUGUAAAGCCCUGUCAGGAGUUAAGAAAUGUAGAUACGCUAAUAUCGUAUCUAUUUGGCAAAGGCUCCAAAGGAAGCCACGGCUAACUCUGUGCCAGCAGCCGCGGUAAUACAGAGGUGGCAAGCGUCGUUCGGAAUUAUUGGGCGUAAAGAGCACGUAGGUGGAUUUGUAAGUCAGACGUGAAAGCCUUCUGUUCAACGGAAGAAUUGCAUCUGAAACUGCAAACCUUGAGUAUAGGAGGGGAGAAUGGAACUUCUGGUGGAGCGGUGAAAUGCGUAGAUAUCAGAAGGAACGCCGGCGGCGAAAGCGAUUCUCUGGCCUAUUACUGACACUCAGUGUGCGAAAGCUAGGGGAGCAAACGGGAUUAGAUACCCCGGUAGUCCUAGCCGUAAACGAUGGGCACUAAGUAGAGGGGUUUUA
rnacentral:rRNA from 1 species